CGCACCUUGCACUCUUUGGUAUUCCGAAGAGUAUGUCUGUUUGAGUGUCAUGAAACUCUCAACCCCCCUAUUAUUGUAAUGAGAUGGGCGUGGGCUUGGAUUAUGGUUGUCUGUUGGCGUAAUUGCCGGCUCAACUGAAAUACACGAGCAACCCUACUGAAAUAAACGGUUUGACUUGGCGUAAUAAUUAUUUCGCUAAGGACGUUUUCUUCAAUUAUAAGAGGUGCUUCUAAUUCGCUUCUAAUAGCAUUUAAGCUUUAGACCUCAAAUCAGUCAGGACUACCCGCUGAACUUAA
rnacentral:misc_RNA from 1 species